AUUGAACGCUGGCGGCAGGCCUAACACAUGCAAGUCGAGCGGUAGAGAGGUGCUUGCAUCUCUUGAGAGCGGCGGACGGGUGAGUAAUGCCUAGGAAUCUGCCUGGUAGUGGGGGAUAACGCUCGGAAACGGACGCUAAUACCGCAUACGUCCUACGGGAGAAAGCAGGGGACCUUCGGGCCUUGCGCUAUCGGAUGAGCCUAGGUCGGAUUAGCUAGUUGGUGAGGUAAUGGCUCACCAAGGCGACGAUCCGUAAAUGGUCUGAGAGGAUGAUCAGUCCCACUGGAACUGAGACACGGUCCAGACUCCUACGGGAGGCAGCAGUGGGGAAUAUUGGACAAUGGGCGAAAGCCUGAUCCAGCCAUGCCGCGUGUGUGAAGGAGGUCUUCGGAUUGUAAAGCACUUUAAGUUGGGAGGAAGGGUCGUUACCUAAUACGUGACGAUUUUGACGUUACCGACAGAAUAAGCACCGGCUAACUCUGUGCCAGCAGCCGCAGUAAGAC
rnacentral:rRNA from 1 species